GACGAACGCUGGCGGCGUGCUUAACACAUGCAAGUCGAACGGAAAGGCCCUGCUUUUGUGGGGUGCUCGAGUGGCGAACGGGUGAGUAACACGUGAGUAACCUGCCCUUGACUUUGGGAUAACUUCAGGAAACUGGGGCUAAUACCGGAUAGGAGCUCCUGCUGCAUGGUGGGGGUUGGAAAGUUUCGGCGGUUGGGGAUGGACUCGCGGCUUAUCAGCUUGUUGGUGGGGUAGUUGCUUACCAAGGCUUUGACGGGUAGCCGGACUGAGAGGGUGACCGGCCACAUUGGGAAUGAGAUAAGGACCAGACUACUACGGGAGGCAGCAGGGGGGAAUAUUGCAAAAUGGGCGGAAGCCUGAUGCAGCAAAGCAGCGUGCGGGAUGACGGCCUUCGGGUUGUAAACCGCUUUCGCCUGUGACGAAGAGUGAGUGACGGUAAUGGGUAAAGAAGCACCGGCUAACUACGUG
rnacentral:rRNA from 1 species